rnacentral:rRNA from 1 species
UACGGAGGAUGCAAGCGUUAUCCGGAAUGAUUGGGCGUAAAGCGUCCGCAGGUGGCAAUGUAAGUCUGCUGUCAAAGCGUCUGGCUCAACCAGAUAAAGGCAGUGGAAACUACAUAGCUAAAGUAAGGUAGGGGUAGAGGGAAUUCCUGGUGUAGCGGUGAAAUGCGUAGAGAUCAGGAAGAACACCGGUGGCGAAAGCGCUCUGCUGGACCUUAACUGACACUGAGGGACGAAAGCUAGGGGAGCGAAUGGG